UGUAAGAGACCUAGUGACAAAAGAUUGAGGACAUCCUCCUUGCUUUGGUCUUUACUUGCAAGGCCUGUGCUUGGAUGUCUAAAGUCCCUGAACAUGGUGGCAGAGUUGGAAGGAGUAAAGUAUUUCUCUAGCUGUGGUAGUGGAUGAUCAAGUUAGGGACACAGACGAGUCCGGAGGACUGGCUGGGAUGUGUCUGCGGGAGCUGGCUGAUGUCAUUUCAGAUACUUUGGAACAUCCUAACAUGGUGUGGGAAGUGAAGACAAAUCAAAUGCCUAAUGCUGUUCAGAAACUCCUUUUGGUAGUGGACAAGAGAACUUCAGGGAUGAAUGAGUCACUGGAGUUGCUGAAAUGUAAUGAAAACCUGCCAUCUUCUCCUGGAUAUGCAUCCUGUGAUGAGCACAUGGAACUUGAUGAUCUUCCUGAACUACAGGCUGUGCAGACAGAUUCUACUCCACCUGCACUUUUUCAGCUUAAUGCAGAUGUUUCACAUCAAGAAUGUUCAAGGCCUUCAUGGAACCAACAUACCUCAAACAGCAAUUCAGAAAGUGUUUAUUCGUGUGAGAAUGGGGUGAACUGGUUGACAGAAUUGGCAAAUAUAGCCACAAGUCCUCAGAGUCCUUUGAUGCAGUGCUCUUUUUAUAACAGAUCAUCUCCUGUUCACAUAAUCGCCACAAGCAAAAGUUUACAUUCCUAUGCACGUCCUCCACCAGGAUCCUCAAAGAAUGAUCCUAAUUUCUCCAAGAAUGAUUUGGAUGAAACACCAGUUAGACAUGAAAGGGCUAACAGUGAAUCAGAAUCUGGCAUUUUCUGCAUGUCAUCACUUUCAGAUGAUGAUGAUUUAGGAUGGUGCCAUUCUUGGCCGUCAACUGUUUGGCACUGUUUUUUAAAAGGCUCACGUUUAUGUUUUCAUAAAGGACGCAAUAAAGAAUGGCAGGACGUUGAAGAUUUUGCAAGAUCUGAAAGCCAUGGAAAUGAGGAAAAUCUCCCAGUGGGUGCUUACAAGGGCUAUGGUUCUGAUGGUUUGAAGUUGAUAUCUCAUGAAGAAAGCGUUUCCUUUGGUGAGUCAGUGCUGAAGCUGACUUUUGAUCCUGGCACAGUGGAAGAUGGCUUGCUUACUGUAGAGUGCAGACUUGAUCAUCCUUUCUAUGUUAAAAACAAAGGUUGGUCAUCUUUUUAUCCAAGCUUGACUGUGGUACAGCAUGGCAUUCCAUGCUGUGAAAUGCAUCUUGGAGAUCUGUGUCUACCUCCUGGACACCCUGAUGCCAUUAACUUUGAUGAUUCAGGUGUUUUUGAUACAUUUAAAAGUUAUGAUUUUACACCAAUGGAUUCCUCUGCAGUUUAUGUGCUAAGCAGCAUGGCUCGCCAGCGUCGCGCUUCUCUGUCUUGUGGAGGAUCGAACAAUCAGGAUGCUGAGAGAUCAGAAUGCAGUAAAAACUGUGCAUCUACAGCAUCAUCACAUCUUUCCUCCAAUUCUUUGUACAACAAAGCUGGCAAAAGCCACAGCUCAGGGACUGCAAGUACUGUGAGUGCCACUUCUCCAAACAAGUGCAAAAGACCAAUGAAUGCCUUCAUGCUUUUUGCCAAAAAAUACAGAGUUGAAUACACUCAGAUGUAUCCAGGGAAAGACAACAGAGCCAUAAGUGUGAUACUUGGUGACAGGUGGAAGAAAAUGAAAAAUGAAGAAAGACGGAUGUACACGCUAGAAGCCAAGGCCUUGGCAGAAGAACAGAAACGUUUAAAUCCUGACUGUUGGAAACGAAAAAGAACAAAUUCUGGCUCACAACAGCAUUAAGCUAGAAUUUUCGUGUUAACUCUGUAUUUACAAAAUGGCUUUUGCUUGAUGGCAAGAAGAUGCAAGAUCAAGGUCUUACUAUUUGUUGUGAAUUUCUGUGACCAUCAUUGGCACCAUCAAGUCGGAAGUGAUUAAAUAUGAGUGCAGAUUUGCUUUUUACAAUAGAACAUUAAGUAAGCUAAAACUAUCAACAUGUUAAACCAAAUUGCCUUAUUUCUCUUCCAAACUUCAUAUAUGUUAUCAGACUUUGCCUUAGAUGAUUUUAACGUGCCUCUAUGGAAGGAAGCGGGGAAGAAAGAGCUACAUAAUUGUUUCAUGAUCUCGCUUUCCUUUCUUGCAUGUUUUGAGGAGUGAACAAGUUAACAUUUAAAUAAUCAGCAGCAGCACGUUGCAGAUGGCUUGAAAUGACAGCUCUGACGCACAAACUCAGGCACGUUGCUGUACUGGUAACCUUUAGAAAUGAAAAGAAUAGACUCCAGCUGCUGCAGACACUGAGAGUACAACUUGCAAAAAGAAAACUGGGGCACUGGUGAACAACUGAGAUGCCUUUAGGUGAUUUCCUGGUCAAGUCUUUUGAACUACUGUUCUUUGGAAAUACUGUUCUGUACCAUGAGACAUUGUAUAUGUGUGUUUGUACAUCUCUGCUGUGUUCUUCUGACACAUUGUCGUAGGAUCGCAUACACAAAUACAAUGAGGGGCACAUGCAGAGCCCCAAAGGAGCUGACCGAGCAGCAGGUGAGAGGUGGGGACGGGGAGGCUCACGGAUCACAUCAAAGCAAACAGAGACACUUCAUGAGAGUCAGAUUUUUCCAUGGAUAGAGGAAGGAGUCAUUAAACACAUUAAUUUUAAUUACCUUCUGCAAAAGAUAGUCCCUUAUAUUAAAAUACAGCUGAGAAAUGCCUGUGACAAUUUUCUUCACUAUAAUCGACACCCCUUCCGCUCACCAGUCUCCCUGUCUUUUCCUCCAUACACUCCCCAGACUUGGUUGGUCACAAAUACACUUUGCAUGAAAAGGAAAAAAUAAAAAGUACUUUUGUUUUUUACCCUAAAAGCAGCUCCCAAGACCAGUCAGUGCCAACGGUAAUCCUGAGGCAGGUUAUCCCCAUCGGACCAAACAAGGGACUAAAGUGCUCUUUGCCAUCAGGCUUUACUCAGUGCUAAGAACCACCUGGGCUGACACUAUUAGAGUCCUGCUGUCCCACCAUUUCAGAAGAAUCUGAUUUAACUGGCAAAAUCCCCUCCAUCGUUGGCAGCUGCCAUGACCACAGGACUCCAAAAGCAGCUGAAAGGAGCUCCGUGAAUUGUUUCGUGGUGGUUGCUCAGGCCUCAGAAUCGCCAUCAGACCAUUUGGUGGCACUACUCCUUCCCCAGCAAAGUGACCCAUGGUGACAGAAGCUGAUCCUUCUCAAAUGUCUUCUGCUGUGCUUUCUCUUUUACUGUGGCCUUGCUCCCUUCAUUUUGAAGAGACAUAAUCAAAAACGCCAUCAACAUCACCAGUCUGUGAAUGUCUUUUAGCUAAAUCUUUCUUUUCCCCUCAGAAGACAACCAGUAGUUACUACUCCACUAACGCUACUAUGAGAAUUCUCAUUUUCCUAAAACAGACCAUAUACAGUUCCACAUUAAAUAACUAAGACAAAAGCCUUCUCAGUAGUCUAAGACUAAAUACAUUCACUAUUUCUCCAUGUUUGCAUCUUCAAUAAAAGUAUUUAAAUAUUAAAUAAAAGUA